ensembl:lncRNA
CUUUAAAGAAAAGGGGGAGAUUAUUCCCAGAAGAGCGGAAAUUAGAACCAGGCAUGGCUGCCGCAGCCUGCUGUAAUGAAAAGAGGUCAGAAAGCUGAAAAGGACAGAGUCACACCUCUGCUAACAGGGGCUGUCCCUUCCUUCUCUCAGUGUGGCAAGCACCUCACUGGGGAAAUGGAUGUUCCAGAAAUUUACAGGGGCAGGUGAACCUUGUAAAGUGCUCACUCUUUGAAGAUCUGGGCAGUUUCCAGCCAAACUUCUGGAGAGCGGCAGGAUCAGCAGCCCCUGUCACUGGGAACCUGACAUAAUGAUAAGAGAAGCAGCUGCGAGGGAUCUUAACAGGCUGAAUAAUAUUCCAUUGUAUGAAAAUUGGAGAUAUCAAGGGAACAUUCCAUGCAAGGAUGAACACGAUAAAGGACAGAAACAGUAAGGAUCUAAAAGAAGCAGAAGAGGUUAAGAAGAGGUGGGAAGAAUACACAAAACUAUACAAAAAAACAGUCUUAAUGACCUGGAUAACUACAGAGAUGUCAUCACUCACUUAGAGCCAGACAGCCUGGGAUGUGAAGUCAAGA